rnacentral:piRNA from 1 species
UAGUCUAUCAAAAUGUUCACUACAUGGUC